UACGGAGGGGGCGAGCGUUAUUCGGAAUUAUUGGGCGUAAAGGGCGCGUAGGCGGCCCGGUAAGUCAAAGGUGAAAUCCCUCGGCUCAACUGAGGAACUGCCUUUGAAACUGUCGGGCUUGAGGCCGGGAGGGGGUAGCGGAAUUCCCAGUGUAGCGGUGAAAUGCGUAGAUAUUGGGAGGAACACCAGUGGCGAAGGCGGCUACCUGGACCGGUUCAGACGCUGAUGCGCGAAAGCGUGGGUAGCAAACAGG
rnacentral:rRNA from 1 species